UGGCUCCAUUACCGCUCAGGAC
rnacentral:siRNA from 1 species